GGCUCUGUGGCGCAAUGGAUAGCGUGUUUGACUUCUAAGCUAAGCUUUGGCGCUAUUCAAAGGUUGUGUGUUCGUGUCCCACCAGAGUCA